GGGUGGGUAUCUCAGUGGUUAGAGCUUAGGUCUCGUAACCGGAAGAUUGCGGGAUCUAAUCCCGCCUGAGGCA
rnacentral:tRNA from 1 species